rnacentral:rRNA from 1 species
UCGAGUGGCGAACGGGUGAGUAACACGUGGGUGAUCUGCCCUGCACUUCGGGAUAAGCCUGGGAAACUGGGUCUAAUACCGGAUAGGAGCCAUUUUUAGUGUGAUGGUUGGAAAGUUUUUUCGGUGUAGGAUGAGCUCGCGGCCUAUCAGCUUGUUGGUGGGGUAAUGGCCUACCAAGGCGGCGACGGGUAGCCGGCCUGAGAGGGUGGACGGCCACAUUGGGACUGAGAUACGGCCCAGACUCCUACGGGAGGCAGCAGUGGGGAAUAUUGCACAAUGGGCGCAAGCCUGAUGCAGCGACGCCGCGUGGGGGAUGACGGCCUUCGGGUUGUAAACUCCUUUCGCUAGGGACGAAGCUUUUUGUGACGGUACCUAGAUAAGAAGCACCGGCUAACUACGUGCCAGCAGCCGCGGUAAUACGUAGGGUGCGAGCGUUGUCCGGAAUUACUGGGCGUAAAGGGCUCGUAGGUGGUUUGUCGCGUCGUCUGUGAAAUUCCGGGGCUUAACUCCGGGCGUGCAGGCGAUACGGGCAUAACUUGAGUACUGUAGGGGUAACUGGAAUUCCUGGUGUAGCGGUGAAAUGCGCAGAUAUCAGGAGGAACACCGAUGGCGAAGGCAGGUUACUGGGCAGUUACUGACGCUGAGGAGCGAAAGCAUGGGU